rnacentral:rRNA from 1 species
AGAGUUUGAUCCUGGCUCAGAGCGAACGCUGGCGGCAGGCCUAACACAUGCAAGUCGAACGCGCCCUUCGGGGCGAGUGGCGGACGGGUGAGUAACACGUGGGAACGUGCCCUUUGGUUCGGAAUAACUCAGGGAAACUUGAGCUAAUACCGGAUGAGCCCUACGGGGGAAAGAUUUAUCGCCGAAGGAGCGGCCCGCGUCUGAUUAGCUAGUUGGUGAGGUAAAGGCUCACCAAGGCUACGAUCAGUAGCUGGUCUGAGAGGAUGAUCAGCCACACUGGGACUGAGACACGGCCCAGACUCCUACGGGAGGCAGCAGUGGGGAAUCUUGCGCAAUGGGCGAAAGCCUGACGCAGCCAUGCCGCGUGGAUGAUGAAGGUCUUAGGAUUGUAAAAUCCUUUCACCGGGGACGAUAAUGACGGUACCCGGAGAAGAAGCCCCGGCUAACUUCGUGCCAGCAGCCGCGGUAAUACGAAGGGGGCUAGCGUUGCUCGGAAUUACUGGGCGUAAAGGGCGCGUAGGCGGACAGUUAAGUCGGGGGUGAAAGCCCGGGGCUCAACCUCGGAAUUGCCUUCGAUACUGGCUGUCUUGAGUGCGGGAGAGGUGUGUGGAACUCCGAGUGUAGAGGUGAAAUUCGUAGAUAUUCGGAAGAACACCAGUGGCGAAGGCGACACACUGGCCCGUUACUGACGCUGAGGCGCGAAAGCGUGGGGAGCAAACAGGAUUAGAUACCCCCGUAGUCC